rnacentral:rRNA from 1 species
UGGAUGGUAGUGUAUUGGACUACCAUGGCAGUCACGGGUAACGGAGAAUUAGGGUUCGAUUCCGGAGAGGGAGCCUGAGAAACGGCUACCACAUCUACGGAAGGCAGCAGGCGCGUAAAUUACCCAAUCCUGAUUCAGGGAGGUAGUGACAAGAAAUAACAACUCGGGCAUUUUUAAUGCUUCGAAUUUGCAAUGGGAACAAUCUAAAUCACUUAUCGAGGAACAAUUGGAGGGCAAGUCUGGUGCCAGCAGCCGCGGUAAUUCCAGCUCCAAUAGCGUAUAUUAAAGUUGUUGCAGUUAAAAAGCUCGUAGUUGAAUUUCUGAUUAUGAAUGUACUGGGUAACCGGUCCAUUUAUAGUCAUCCACAUGAGAACCUAUCUCGGCCUUCACUGGUCGGUUGGGGGAUCAUGUACUUUACUUUGAAAAAAUCAGAGUGUUUCAGGCAGGCGUUUGCAUGAAUACACAAGCAUGGAAUAAUGGAAUAGGACUAGGGUCCAUUUUAUUGGUUAUUGGACCAUAGUAAUGAUUAAUAGGGACAGUUGGGGGCAUUAGUAUUUAAUUGUCAGAGGUGAAAUUCUUGGAUUUAUUAAAGACUAACUUAUGCGAAAGCAUUUGCCAAGGAUGUUUUCAUUAAUCAAGAACGAAAGUUAGGGGAUCAAAGACGAUUAGAUACCGUCA